rfam:Dipodomys ordii contig_75220, whole genome shotgun sequence.
GUGGCUCAGUGGUAGAGUGCUUGCCUUGCAUGCAUGAGGACCUGGGUUCGAUUCCUCAGC